rnacentral:lncRNA from 1 species
UUUUUUUUGCUUAAGUGUUGUGCAAAAUAUAUUCCUAUUGUGUUGAAUUGAUUAAAGCUUCGGGUGUAUCUUCAUCUGAUAGCUUUUAAUGUCGGGCACAAAUUCUUCCGAAAUCAACCCUUUACUAUGAGGGUUUCAUAAGAGAGGGCCAUCUUAUACUUACGGUGUUGUUGAAGAGGAUGUCUUCUAUUCAUUUUGAUACAAGCAUUUGAAGUUUUUGUUAACUUUCAAAUGAUAAAAUUAACUCAUCAUUCAGACAAGAAAAUAAGAUAAAAAUAAAAUGAUUUUAUUUUAUUCCUUCUAUCUCUAAAAGUACAUAAGCAUUCAUUUGCUAAAAAACUACCAAUACAUGUGGCUAAUUUGUACAACUUAUUUCUACGGGGCUGAUCAUGCAGUCCAUGUUCCUGAUGAGACAUUAUUGUUCUCGGUUCUAGCAGUCCCCGAUUUUUGUGGCAUUCUUGUUGCCGUAUCUUAUACUAUUCCCCCUCCAGAGUUCGAAUGUGAAGUAUGCGAAAUGGAAUACUGAAAGUCUUGCUUCACCGGUGGAAAUGACUUAUGAAUGGUUAAAUAAUCCUUUCUUAGUGAUGGAAGCAAAGCUUUCCAUCAAACCAAAUAUUAUUUAACAAUCCAUAUAUCCGUUUGACGUCGAUGUGAAAAUUUUGGUACCUUAGUGUUUAAAGGUCUUUUCUUUUGCCGACGACGCUCCCUUUGUAGUAUGCUUUCUAGUGCUUCCUCAUUAAAAACCUUGCUAGAAAAACCCAAUUGGGACAAAAACUGAUUGAAGGAAAAAAGAGUGCAGUACAUACUUUCAGUAUCGGCAGUAUCCAUCAACAAUAAUACCUUUUGAGGUGAGUCACGUUCCAAUUGAUGGGCAACUUGACUCCAUCUUGAUUCUCUAACUCCUACGACCCUUUACUGGUGAUAGCUGAAACCCGGUAAGGACCUUCCCAUGUUGGACCCAGCUUCCCGGCGUUGACUUCCCGAGUGCUCUGAGUCCCUUUUUUCAAAACAGAGUCUCCUACUUUGAAAUAGUGGAGAUUAGCCCUCCUCCGUGAAGGUGAUAUCAUCUUACGCAACUUCUCGGAGUCUUGUUGUGAGUCACCGAUAUCUUUGUUUUCUUAGUUGUCGAGAAGGUUAUACUGUUGAUUUCAUUCCCUCCGAAAAUCAUGCUGAUAGUCAAUCGGGGGGAGUUUUAUGCCGCCUUCGAAGGCUUUAUAUUAUCCCGGCCUCUGUCGUAGUUAUUUUUGGCUCGAUCACUUAAAAAUUCCUAAGAUGGCAAUUCUUUAAUAAUGUCGCCACCUCUUCACAUAGAUGCCAACAGUCCCCAGUUCUAUGAUCGCGAGUCCCAUGAUAUUCACACCAUAAGUUAGGAUCCCUCUGUCUAGGAUUAGAUCUGAUUGGCUUUGGGAAUCGUGCUUCUUUGAUAUUUCUCAUCGACGAUACUAAUUCAGCUAAAUUAAUGUUGAAGUUGUAAUCCGAUAAUCUGGGAUAUGUGGAGUCCCGAGCCCCUGGUACCUAUUUUUCUUGUAAUGCCAUGUUGUUCCGGCCACGGUUGGUUCUUCUAUUGGGAGCGAACCUAUCCGAGGACCGAAACCCUUUGCUGUUGCGACCCUCGGUUCUUUCAUACGGCAGGAAACGACCUUUAGAAGACCGCCGAUCCUCAUCGAAGUCACUUUUAAACUUGUCCUGAUUCUUAUCUCGGUCCCAUUACCUGGUUGAUGUGGGGAACCCGAGCUGGUAUCCUCUAUCCCUAUUUUUUGGCUCAUAACGGUUAUGGACAUCCGCACAUGUGGUUGCUUGAAAUUCGAGCAUGCUUUUCUUUAUUUCUGAGAGGUUUCGGAGCUCCGUGGAUUCAAACCCUUUGUUAACACCUCCGCUGCCCACUCAUUCGGUACAAUCGGUAGGAACAUCCUCUCUUUCUGGAACCAAAUCAUGAAUUCUCGCGGUAAAUCAGACUCACCUUGCGCAAUCCUGAAUAUGUCCACCUUCCUGGCUUGGACCUUCCUUUCCCCAGCAUGGGCCUUAAUGAAUCAAUCUGCAAGCAUCUCAAAAGAGUCAAUUGAAUACUUGGUUAAGAGUGAAUACCAUGCCAGGGCCCCUUUUGUGAGGGUUUUGCCAAACGUCUUCAGCAAGACCGACUCAAUCGCAUGUUAAGCCAAAUCUUUCCCUUUCAUAGUCAUGGUGUAGGUUGUGAUGUGCUCCAGUAGAUUCGAGGUGCCAUCGUACUUUGGUAUGUCCAGCAUUUUGAACCUCUUCAAAACUAACUCUGGUCUGCUUAAAUGGCAAUUGCGUGUAUUUUUUUGAAUCCGGGCCCUUUAGAAUUGAUGGUGGGCCUGGAAUCUGACCCAUUCGAGCAUGAAACUCCUUCGCAUUUUGAUCCCUUCAUUCGUUCAUUUUCCUCAUAAAUCUCAUGAGCUCGGUUUUGAAGGGGUCAUUGCCGUUAUCAUUCCCAAAUUCGCUACCGAUUCCCCGGCACCAUCAAAACCGACUUCACCCCUUGGGGUGUUGUUGUCAACCCUCUUAGCCGUUUGAUUUGUAGGAUUGCUGGGAGGAAUUGGGAUCCUUCCAUUUGCAUUAUUGGAAGUACCUGACAACGCUUGUUUUCACUCUGUCAUUACCCGGUCCUCCAUUGAGAAGUGACUCAUGGUUGCUUUCUGCUAUUCUCUUAAGAUUUUCACUAUUUUCACGACAUGUUCCUCUUAUACAUCAUCGGGAUAUUGCCCUUCAUGAACCGGGGUUGCUUUGUCCCUUUCGUUACGGGUGUCUCAGAUUGAGUCAUCAUGUUUAGGCAAAUCUUCGUGUCCCUCAAUGUGUUGUGUGAUGUUGACAUCAUUAGCUGCCAUAUCUGAUUUCUUACUAAGGAAAAAAUCAAACAAGUUAGUGACAAACGUAAGGACCAAAGCAAUUACGUAAUUAUCUAAGCCACACGGUGGGCGCCAAACUGUUUACCCGUAAAACGGUACAGUUAAAUUUGUUGCGUGAUUUAUAGACAAGCGAACUAAUUUGAUCCAAAUAUGAUAAACAAAUAAGAUUAAAAAUGAGACUUAGCAGUUGAAAUUGAAGAAGAUGACAAGCCUGACUGUGAGAGCAAUGCCUCUGAGUACUAAAGUGAAAGAAAUGAUAAAGAACAAGUAAAGUUAUUUAAUUGAGAGCAAAAGUAAAAUACAAUGUGUGUUUGCCAAGAAUUUUGUGUCUUACAAUGGCUACUGAGCCUACUGAUAAUAAAAGUGGCAUUGAUGAAUAUGUAAUGGCAGGCCAUGAAUGAAAUUAUUCUCUAUAACGGUUGCUCAUUUAAUGUUAGAGAAUAUUCUCUCAUUGAAUGCUAUCCGAUGGUAAAUACUCGAUUUGCUUUUGUUGACUAUGCUCCCUUUAGGCUUUACCCGAUGUCGUUUGCAAUUAUUGUAUUCAGUACUGAUUGUUACUUAAGUUUCCUGUUGCUUAUUUUCGGUUCCAUGUGUCAUGUUAUCAUUUGACCAUUUAUUAUAAAUCAAUUUUACCCUAUACAUAUACAUAUAUGUUGGGACAGUUGCAAACCAGCAGGGGUCCAUGAAGCUUAAAUCCCCAAAAAGUAAGAAAGGCGACCAAGGUCCCUCACGCUGAUCUGUGACUUCAAACGAGCAACAAGAGAAUUGACAAGAGAUGAGAUCCUAAAUCAAGAAUGGCAGACAUACAGUAAACAAAAUAAUUUAUCAGUGCUGAAUGAGAAAUAAUAUUAUAAGCAAUUUGUUUUUGAGCCAGUAAAUCCAUAAGAAAGCAGGACAUAUGUUAAACAUUUGUUCCACAUACGACGGGCUUAUUGAAGACCAAUAAAAAGAACGCUUGAUUAAGCAAACAUGCCGAGGUCGAUCUGGAUCAAUAAAAUCAGAAGGUUGAGAUAUGUACACCUCUUCAUCAAAAUUACUGUGAAGAAAGGCAUUAGAGAUAUCCAACUAAGUAAUAUGCCAGUUAUUCGAGAUAGCCAAAGAGAGAAGAAGGCAAAUGAUGGCCGCUUUCACUACUAAACUAAAAGUAUUAACAUAAUCCACUCCAGGUUAUUGAUGAUAUCCUUUAGCAACAAGACGUGUCUUGUAACAAUCAAUGGAUCCACUAAGCUUCACUGUCACGAUCCAUAAUUCCCACCCUCGGGACCGUGAUAACACCUAACAUUUCACUUGCUAGACAAGCCUUAGAUAUAGUUAUUAACCAUUUUUAACAAUUCAAUUCAAGUGAAAAACAAUAAGCUGAAUAAACUUGAAUAUAGUAAAUAAACUAAUAAACAGAUAUAUCCAAAUACAAUCCCAGAACUGGUUUCACGAAUACAUGAGCGUCUAGAGUACUACAAAUAAUAGUCUGAAUAAAAACAUAACUGUCUGAAUCGAAAUAAACAACUAAGGUGAUGUAGAAGGGGACUUCAGGGUUGUGGACGCUGUGUAGCCAUACCUCAAGUCUCUAUCAAGCAUUGGAUCCGAGCAAGUCUACUAAACACCGCUAGGACCCACUUCGAAAUCUGCACAAGAAGUGUAGAGUGNNNNNNNNNNNNNNNNNNNNNNNNNCAGUAAUAAUAAUAAUAAUAAUAAUAAUAAUAAUAAUAAUAAUAAUAAUAAUAAUAAUAAUAAUAAUAAUAAUAAUAAUAAUAAUAAUAAUGAUAAUAAUAAUAAUAAUAAUAACAGGGAAAGAAAAUAGGAAUAAAAGUAAAGCAGUUAAUUUAUGAAAAUGAACUCAACCUUACAAUCAAAUAACCCAAAAUAACAAACCUCGUAACUUCAUAUAAAUAUGUUGAAAACUAAAAAAUAACAACAACGAGUACAACACACAUAAUCCGUUGCGGCGCGCAACCCGAUCCCACCGCACACACAAAACCCUCCCUUUUUUCACCCUAGCAUCAUUUAUCAAUAUCAAGAAUCACGUAUACAAUCUGUUGCGGUACGCAGCCCGACCCCACCAUAUCAUCAUAAUCAAUGUCAUAAUUUUCCCUUAUUAUACCAUAUUAUCAUUUAUCAAUAUCAAGUAUUACAUAUACAACUGUUGUGGCGCGCAACCCGAUCUGACCAUAUCAUCCUUUAUUCCACCAUAUCACAACCGUUGCGGCAUGCAAUCCGAUCUAUAAACAAUUUCAGUAAACGUAAUCAAUCCAUUGACCUAUCGGGUCAUCACAUUCUCCACCUCUAAAACAAGCGUUCGUCCUCGAACGGACAUAGAAAAGUACCUGGACUGGUGAUAAGGUAUGGGUAUCUACUUUGCAUGUCAUACUCAGACUCCCAUGUGGCCGCCUCGAUCGGCUGACCUCUCCACUACACUCGAACUGAAGGGCAAUUCUUAGACCUCAACUUCCGGACUUGCCGGGAUAGAAUGGCCACCAGCUCCUCCUCAUAAGUCAAAUACUUGUCCAAUUGGACUGAGCUGAAAUCUAGCACAUAGGACAGAUCACUACGAUACUUUCGAGCAUGGAGACAUGGAACACUAGAUGAACUAUUGAUAACCUAGGUAUCAAUGCAAGCUUGUAGGCCACAUUCCCCCUUUAUCAAGAAUCUCAAAUGGUUCGAUAUACCUAGGGCUCAACUUGCCCUUCUAUCCGAACCUCAUCACACCCUUUAUGGGUGAAACCCGGAGCAAUGCCCUCUCUCCAACCACGAAUGAAACAUCAUUAACUCUAUGAUCGGCAUAACUCUUCUGCCUAGACUGAGCUGUGCGAAGUCAAUCCUGAAUCAUCUUGAUCUUUUCCAAGACAUCCUGAACCCAAUUGGUACCCAACAAUCGAGCCUCUCCCAGCUCAAACCAACCAACUGUCAAACGACAUCGUCUCCCGUAUAAUACCUCAUAGGAAGUAAUCUGAAUACUCGAUUGGUAGAUGUUGUUGUAGGAAAACUCCGGAAGUGGCAAGAACUGAUCCUAAGAACCCCCGAAAUCCAUAAUGCAAGCGCGAAGCAUAUCCUCUAAUAUUUGAAUGGUGCGCUCGGACUGUCCGUCUGUCUGGGGUGAAAUAUUGUACUCAACUCAACCCGUGAGCCUAACUCACGAUGUACGGCCCUCUAAAAGAGCGAGGUGAACUACGUACCUCGGUCAGAAAUGAUGGACACGGGCACACCGUGAAGACGGACGAUCUCGCAGAUAUAGAUCUCAGACAACCGCUCUGAAGAAUAGAUAACUACCACUGGAAUGAAAUGUGCUGACUUGGUCAACAUGUCUACAAUGAACCAUACUGUGUCAAAUUUCUUCGAAGUCCGGGGGAGACCAACAACAAAAUCCAUGGUAAUACACUCCCACUUCCACUCAGGAAUCUCAAGCUUCUGGAGAAAACCGCCAAGACUCUGAUGCUCGUACUUUACUUGCUGACAAUUCAGACACCGAGCCACAUAUGCAACUAUAUCCUUCUUCAUUCUCCUCCACCAAUAAUGUUUCCGCAAGUCCUGAUACAUCUUGGCGGCACCCGGAUGAAUGGAAUACCGGGAACUGUGGGCCUCCUCAAGAAUCAACUCACGAAGCCCAUCCACAUUGGGCACAUAAAUCCGAACCUGCAUCUGCAACACCCCAUCAUCUCCAAUAGUAACCUGCUUGAAACCACCAUGCCGCACCGUGUCCUUAGGACAAGAAAAUGGGGGUCAUCAUACUAACGCUCUCUGAUGCGCUCAUACAAAGAAGACCGAAAGAGUGUGCAAGCUAGAACGGGACUAGGCUCCAAAACAUCUAACCUCACGAACUGAUUGGAUAAUGCCUGAACAUCUGAUGCAAGCGGUAUCUCACCAAUCGGAAUAUAUGCAAGGCUACCCAUACUCAUAGCCUUUCUACUCAAGGCAUCGGCUACCACAUUGGCCUUUCCUGGAUGAUAUAAAAUAGUGAUAUCAUAGUCUUUCAACAGCUCCAACCGCCUUCUCAGCCUCAAGUUGAGAUCCUUUUGCUUGAAUAAGUAUUGUAGACUCCAAUGAUCUGUGAACACCUCGCACGACACGCCGUAGAGAUAGUGCCUCAAAAUCUUCAGUGCAUGAACAAUGGCUGCCAACUUUAGGUCAUGAACAGGGUAAUUCUUCUUAUGGACCUUCAACUGCCGCGAUGCAUAUGCAAUUCCCCUGCCAUUCUGCAUCAAUACUGCACCGAGCCCAAUACAAGAUGCAUCAUAAUUUAUAGUGUAGGAUCCUGAACUUGUGGGCAACACCAAUACUAGCAUCGUAGUCAAAGUAGUCUUGGGCUUCUGGAAGCUCAGCUCACUCAUCGGACCACCUGAACGGAGCAACCUUCUGGGUCAAUCUAGUUAAUGGGGCUACUAGGGAUGAAAACCCCUCCACGAACCGACGAUAAUAACUCGCAAAACCUAGGAAACUCCAAAUUUCUGUAGCUGAAGUAGGUCUAGGCCAGUUCUGAACCGCCUCAAUCUUCUUAGGAUCCCCUUUAAUUCCCUCGGCCAAUACAACAUGCCCCAAAAAGGAAACUGAGUCCAACCAAAACUCACACUUUGAGAACUUGGCAUAUAACUGACUAUCUCUUAAAGUCUGAAGUACAAUCUGAAGAUGUUGGCCAUGCUCCUCUCGACUGCGGGAGUAUAUCAAGAUAUCAUUAAUGAAUACGAUCGCAAAAGAAUCCAAAUAGGGCUUGAAUACCUGGUUCAUCAAAUCAAUAAAUGUUGCUGGGGCAUUUGUCAACCAAAAUGACAUCACUAGGAACUCAUAAUGCCCAUAUCGAGUCCGAAAAGUUGUCUUAGGGACAUCUGAUGCCCUAAUCUUCAACUGAUGGUAGCCAUACCUCAAAUCAAUCUUCGAAAAUACCUUGGCACCCUGAAGCUGAUCAAAUAAGUCAUCAAUGCUCGGAAAUAGAUACUUGUUCUUGAUAAUGACUUUGUUCAACUGCUGAUAGUCUAUACACAUCCUCAUCGAACCAUCUUUCUUCUAUACGAACAACACGGGUGCACCCUAGGGAGAGACACUAGAGCCAAUAAAUCCGUUAUCAAGUAAAUCUUGCAACUGCUCCUUCAGUUCCUUCAACUCUGGCGGGGCCAUACGAUAUGAUGGAAUAGAAUUAGGCUGAGUGCCAUGAGCCAAAUCAAUAUAGAAGUCAAUAUCUCUGUCGAGUGGAAUCCCCCGCAGAUCUGCAGGAAAUACUCUGGAAACUCACGCACAACAGGUACUAAAUCCAUGGAAGGAACCUCCGCAGUAGAAUCGCGAAUAUAGGCCAAAUAAGCUAGACAUCCCUUCUCGACUAUACGCCGAGCCUUCACCUAAGAAAUAGCAUUGCUGGUAGAAUGGUUAGGAGUCCCUCUCCACUCUAAUCGAGGCAACCCCGGCAUGGCUAAGGUCACCGUCUUGGCGUGACAAUCCAAUAUAGCAUGAUAAAGUGACAGCCAAUACAUGCCCGAAAUAAAAUCAAAGUUUACCACAUCAAGAAGUAGUAAAUCUACACUAGUCUCAAGACUCCCAAUGGUAAUCACACACGAGCGAUACACAUGGUCUACAACUAUAGAAUCUCCCACCGGCGUGGACACAUAUACAGGAGCACUCAAAGAAUCACGAGGCACAACCAUAUAUGAAGCAAAAUAGGAUGACACAUAGGAAUAAGUGGAGCCCGGAUCAAAUAAAACUGAAGCAUCUCUAUGGAAAAUUGGAACAAUACCUGUGAUAAUAGAGUCAGAUGACUCGACCUCAAGUCUAGCCGGGAAUUCAUAAAAUCGGGGUUGGGCCUCACCAUCCUAACCUUUAUUUCUCAGACGGCCUCUAGCUGGCUGGCAUCCACCUCUAGUGGCCUGACCUCAACCUCUGGCAGUCUGACCCCUACUUCUAGCUAGCUGAGCGGGCGGUGGAGAAACCGGUGCCUAAACCAUGGUACGAGAGCUCUACUGUGGCAUGUUGUUCAACAAUCUCGGGUAGUACCUCCUGAUGUGACCAGUAACCCCACAUUCGAAACACCCAUCCUGCUAUUGUGGUUGCUGAAGCUGAAACUGACCCGAACGGGCCAGAUAACCAUGGUGGUAGCUCUGGAUCGGAGGCGCACUGUAGGCUGGCUGCCCAAUAUGAGAUACAUAAGGACCACGACUCCCCGAAGCACUGUGAGAUGACUAAAGCGUUGACUGAAAUGCCCUAGGAGGAUGGCCUCUACCAAGAGUACCCCUGCCACCAGACGAGGCACCACUAAAACUACCAGAAUGACGAGGCCUCUUAUCAAACACCAGCCCCCUCUCCUGACCACGAACCAUCUCGAUCUGUCUAGAAAUAUCUAUGGCCCUCUGGAAAGCAAUAUCAUCUUCAGUCUCCUUGGCCAUCUGUAGCCUGAUACUAAAAGUGAGCCUAUCAAUGAAUCUCCUCACUCUCUCCCUCUCAGUAGGGAGUAAAACAAUGGCAUGGCAAGAUAGGUCCAUAAAUCGAGUCUCAUAUUGGGUAACAGUCAUACUAUCCUGCUGAAGACACUCAAACUGCCUGCGGUAAUCAUCGCUCAAAGUGAAAGGAAUGAAAUUCUCUAGAAAUAGCUGUAAAAACUGAUCCUAGGUAAGUGCAGGUGAACCAGCUGGUAUAGUAAACACAUAAUACCUCCAUCAUCUCUUGGUAGAACCGGUCAUCUGUAACACCACAAAAUCGACCCCAUUGGUCUCAACUAUACCCAUGUUGCGCAACACCUCGUGGAAAAGGUCCAAGUAAUCCUGUGGGUCCUCAGAAGGUGCACCACUAAAACAAAUAGGAAAGAAUUUGGUAAACUUAUCCAGCCUCUACAAGGCCUCAGAAGACAUAGCGGGCCUAUUCCCGGUAUGUGCCGCAAUAACCAGCUGAACUACCCAACUGGCUAGGCUACUGGAGUCUGAUAUAGGAGAGCCACCUGCUUCGGGGUGUGAGUAGCAGAAGUCUAUGCUCCUCCCCUAGCCCGAGAGACAAAUGGUGCCACCAGAAAUGCACUGGUCUGGGCCACACUCUCCAUAAGGCCCACCAAAUAGACUAGAGUGUCCUGAAGCAAGGGAGUGGCUAUGAACCCCUACGGGACCUGAGCUGGUCUGACAGGUAUGGUCUGAGGUGGUACCUCCUCCUCAUAAUCCACCUGAGGCUCCACUGUGGGUGUUACUGCCGAGCUCUAGGCUGAGCUAUGCCUCUAGCUCGACCUCGGCCUUGGCCUCUGCCCCUGGUAGUAGCUUCCAUAGAGGUCUCCGGCUCUUGCCCGGCUGCAGAUGUUGUGCGUGUUCUCUCCAUCUGCGAGAGGACAAGAAUAGAAUGGUUCAAUCAUCAAUGACAUAAUAAAAUCGUACGAUAGAGAAGGAAAGAAGUGGAAUUUUUCCUAAACUCUAUAGCCUCUGGAAGAUAAGUACAGACGUCUCUGUACCGAUCCUUUAGACUCUAUUAAGCUUGCUCAUGACUCGUUAGACCUAGGCAACCUAGUGCUCUGAUACCAACUUGUCACGACCCGAAUUCUCAGCCUCGGGACCGUGAUAGCGCCUAACAUUUCACUUGCUAGGCAAGCCAAUGUUAGAUAUAGUUAUUAACUAUUUUUAACAAUUCAAUUCAAGUGAAAAAUACUAAGCUGAAUAAACUGAAAUACAGUAAAUAAACUAAUAAACAACGAUAUCUAAAUACAAUCCCAGAACUGGUGUCACGAAUACACGAGCGUCUAGAGCACUACAAAUAAUAGUCUGAAUAAAAGCAUAAUUGUCUGAAUGAAAAUAAACAGGUAAGGUGAUGUAGAAGGGGACUUCAGGGCUGCAAACACUGUGCAGUUGUACCUCAAGUCUCCGUCAAGUACUAGAUCCGAGCAAGUUUAUUGAACAUCGCUGGGACCCACUCCGAAAUCUGCACAAGAAGUGCAGAGUGUAGUAUGAGUACAACCGACCUCAUGUACCCUGUAAGUGUCGAGCUUAACCUCGACGAAGUAGUGACGAGGCUAAGGCGGUCACUUACAAUAACCUAUACGCAGUAGUAGUAGUAGUAGUAAUAAUAAUAAUAAUAAUAAUAAUAAUAAUAAUAAUAGUAAUAAUAAUAAUAAUAAUAAUAAUAAUAAUAAUAAUAACAACAACAACAACAACAAUAAUAAUAAUAAUAAUAAUAAUAAUAAUAAUAAUAAUAAUAAUAAUAAUAAUAAUAAUAAUAAUAAUAAUAAUAAUAAUAAUAAUAAUAAUAAUAAUAAUAAUAAUAAUAAUAAUAAUAAUAAUAAUAAUAAUAAUAAUAAUAAUAAUAAUAAAAUAAUAAAUAAUAACUAANNNNNNNNNNNNNNNNNNNNNNNNNNNNNNNNNNNNNNNNNNNNNNNNNNNNNNNNNNNNNNNNNNNNNNNNNNNNNNNNNNNNNNNNNNNNNNNNNNNNNNNNNNNNNNNNNNNNNNNNNNNNNNNNNNNNNNNNNNNNNNNNNNNNCAACAACGAGUACAAUACACAUAAUCCGUUGGGGCGCGCAAUCUGAUCCCAUCGUACACAUACAAUUCUCCCUUAUUUCACCUUAGCAUCAUUUAUAAAUAUCAAGAAUCACGUAUACAAUCCAUUGAUGUGUGCAACCCGAUCCCAUCAUAUCAUCAUAAUUAAUGUCAUAAUUCUCCCUUAUUACACCAUAUUAUCAUUUAUCAAUAUCAAGUAUUACAUACACAACUGUUGCGGUGCGCAACCCGAUCCCACCAUAUCAUCAGAAUCAAUGUCUUAAUCCUCUCUUAUUCCACCAUAUCACAACUGUUGCGGCAUGCAAUCCGAUCCACAAAUAAUUUCAAUAAACAUAAUCAAUCCAAUAGCUCAAUUUACAAGAAUCUCUACAAUCAAAUGAUAUGAAAGCAAGGAAAUAAAGGAACCACGUACUAAUCAAAGGAAUGCUACAAAUAAUACAAAAGCAACAAGACAAGUCAAGUAUGUGACAAUUAAAGUGUGCAAGUAAGACAAUUAAGGCAAGUAGCAAUUAAUCACGGAGUCAUGGAACGGACGAACAAUUCAAUACAAGAAUAAUUAAUGACAUGUAACAAAUCACGGCAUAGAGAUCAAUUAAAGCAUGUAACAUUUAAGGCAUGGAAUGAGAUAAUUCAUGAAAUACGAGAAGACAUGGAAAUAAUUAUUUUGACGGCAUAUAUAUACUCGUCACCUCGCAUAUAUGUCGUUACACACGUAAUUUACAUAACAUAUAGUUCAGGGGUUCCUAAUUCCCACAAAUCAAGGUUAGACCCAUCACUUACCUUGCUCCGCAAUCAAAUCAAAGCUCAACCGGGGCCUUUCCUUUAAAAUUUACCUCCAAACCAAUCGAAUCUAACCAAAUAUAGUUCAAAGUUCAAACAAUUCAAAAUAAGUUUCAGAAACUACCCACGAGUGAAAAAUAUUCCAUCUUUAAUGAUUUUGGAAAAAGUCAACUCCUGGCUCGCUUGGUCAAAAUUCGAGAUUCGGACCAAUACCCAAUUACUCAUUCACCCCCGAGCCCGAUUAUGUUAUUAGUUUCGAAAUCCGACCUCAAUUUGAGGUCUAAAUCUCAAUUUCUCAAAAUUUUUAAAUUCUACCGAAAUCACUAAUUUCUACCAUGAACAAGCAUAGAUUAAAGGUUAGAAAUCAAUGGGUGUUGAUGAAAAUGUAAGAAAACGAGUUAAAAUCUACUAACAUAUGAAGUGGGGAUGAAAUUCCUCUUCCAAAUCGCCUCUAGGCCGAGCUCAAAUGUGAAAAUGGUGAAAAAUGAAGAAAAUCCAGACUUUGGGAUAUUUAAUUGACCGAGCGUCGGGCCUUCUUCGCGUUCGCGAAGGGCCUGACGCGAUCACGAAGAGCAUCGGCCAAAAUGGCCUUCGCGUUCGCGAGGGACCUCACGCGUUUGUGAUGGUCUAUCCCCCAUGACCACCGCGUUCGCGAUGAUCUGUCCCCCCCCCCCCUGACCAUCGCGUUCACGAGCCUGGGCUCACGUUCGCGUAGAGCAAGUCCCAGCCUUCCCCCAGAACCCCUUACUCAUCGCGUUCGCGAGUGUAGAGCUUUGUUCACGAAGGGUGAUCCCUUCAAUGCUUCGUGUUCGCGAGCCCUUCUCCAUGUUCGUGAAGAAGAAAACCUCCCCAUUCCCCAGUUACCCUUCGCGAUCGCGAAGACCAACGCACCAGACAUCAGAAAUAGUGAAAAUCCAGUAUUCCUUCUAAGUCUGAAAUUGUCUGUAGCCUAUCCAAAACUCACCCGAGUCCCUCGGACUCCAAACCAAAUAUGCACACCAGUGUAAUAACAUCAUACGAACUCGCUUGCGCGAUCAAAAUACCAAAAUAAUACCUAAAACUACGAAUCGGACAUCAAAAUGUAUGAAAUUUUCAAAGAAGCUUAAGAACUUUCAAAUUUACAACCGGACGUCCGAAUCAUGUCAAAUCAACUCCGUUUCGCACCAAAUUUUGCAGACAAAUAAUAAAUAAUGAAAUGAACUAUUCCGAGUUCCGGAACAGAAAUUCGAACCCGGUAGCAACAAAGUCAACCUAUGCUCAAACUUAAGAAUUCUUUAAGGCUUCAAAUUACUAAUUUUCAACAAAUCACGUUAAAUCAAGUUAAGGACUUCCGAAUUCGAUUCCGGGCAGACGCCCAACUCCCAAAUCACGAUACGGACCCACCGAGAUCAUCAAAAUACUAAUCCGGGUUCGUUUACAUAAAAUGUUGACCGUAGUCAACUCAUAUCAGUUUUAAGGCAAAAUUUCAUAUUUUCUUCAAUUUUUCAAAACAAGACAUAUAUUGUGCACGUAAAUCGAGGAACACUAAACGGAGCUAGUCNAAAUCNNNNNNNNNNNNNNNNNNNGAAAUCUCAGAACACAGAAAUAAAAGCUAAAACUCAAAAUGACAUAUGGGUCAUCACAUUCACCUUAGUUUUAAAAACCUAUUUACUCAUGAUAACAUUCUAAGAUGAAGGCUUAAUAGAAUUAGCGGAUAUCUCAUAGUAAGAGGUGGGUUGCUUUGGUUUUAAGGAUAUAGUUUGUGAUCUAAUAACCAUUGGAUGAGACUUAUAUGUGGAAGAGCUUGACAAUCUGGUAGGCGGUUGGUCAUUGCUCAAGGGAUAAUAUUAUUCAACAUCAACUACUAUGUUCUCUUCUUCCUUGAGUAGCAAGUAACGAGAUCUCACGCGGAACUAGAAUUUGAUAGAUACGGGUGUCAUUAUUUUAAUACAAACCGACCAUUAGUGAAGAAAAUUAAAUUAGGGCGUACAUUUUGAAUUAAUUUGGUUUUGGACUAAUUUGGUUCGAUUCGGUUCGAUUCGAUCCAUUUUGAAUUUAUUUAAUCUAAUUUAAAAGAUCUUUUUAUGCAUAAAGAAUAUGUGAUACACCCUUUUAUUCUACAUUUAGCUGAUUAAUAUUAUAUUAUGUCUUUGAUACAUUACUCUAAAAGUUUUGUAAAAUUAUAAAAUAAUAUUAGAUGGAUAAAAAGAGAAAAUGAUUAAAAUUACAUCCAAACAAAAUUUGAAGAUCCAGAAAAAGACAAAGCUGGAAAAAAAUAUAUAAUAAAAAUAAAAAUAGAAUUGUACAAAAAAAAGUGAAUAACAAAUUAGAUGAAGAAAAUAAGAGAAAUUAAUAAAAGGAGCAUAAAGAAAAGAAAGAAAGGGAAAAAGAUAACAAAGGAACAACUAGGACAUCGAUAGAGUCUCGACCUUGGUACCUUCAAUUAUUUUGUGACUUGGAAUGCCACUCGUUAUUUAUGUAGGAAUAUUUGAGAAAAAUACUAGUACAUGCAAAAGAUUUUAUUCGAGCGACCGGUGGCGUGCCAUCUCCAAUUCCGUACAUAAAUCCACCAUGGGAUCUCAGAAGACUGGGAAGAACCAACUGUAUGCGUAACAAGUAGUUGUAGAGGUGGUCAGAAUGCUGAUGUAGGGCAUUAUUCAUAGAUUUGCAAAAUAAAAAUUAGCGAUAAAGUACUUAAUGAGAUAGUAGUGUCUGCCAUAUGAGAUGAAUUGGUACGAAGGAAUAUAGACAGUAAGCAGGGGAGCAUUGGUUCAUGUAGCAGACACCACAGCUUUACCCAGAGCAGCAAAAAAUUGUUUCGUCAAAAUAACAUGACGAGUGACAAAAAUAAUUAGAGGAAAUAAUAUCAAAACACGAUAAUACGACCUUAGUUCAAAGGUAUUUAUGUCCUUUCCCUAAAAAUGCAUAUCAAUAUCUUACAAUACAAAUUUUAAAAGUGAAAAACAAAAACUCCGACUAUCUUGACUGUAUCUCUUGAGAGCCAUGUUUUAAAGUGAAAGUUGAGACUUGUUCGGAUCUCGCUCAAAAGCCAAGACGAGUCAGUCUUUACCCGCCCGGGACGAUCAUGGAGAUAUAACGUGUCAUGUUUUGACACAACAACAACAACACAGUAUAAUUAUAUUAGUGGGGUUUGGGGAAGGUAGUUUGUACACAAACUUUAUCCCUACCCUAGGGUAGAGGUUUGGGGAGGGUAGUUUGUACACAGACCUUAUCCCUACCCUAGGGUAGAGAGGCUGUUUUCGAGGCUAUUUCCGAUAGACCCCCUGCUCCCUCCCUCCAAGAACUCUCCACCUUGCUUUUGGGAUGACUCGAACUCACAACCUCUUGGUUGAAAGUAGAGGGUGCUCACCACUAGAGCAACUCACUCUUGUCACAAAUUUCUUAAUAAAUUAGGAAGAAAUUACUAAUGAAUUAGACACCAAUAAAAAAUUUCAAAAAUUUACCCAUGGGGUACUAAUGGAUUAGCCACAGACAUCUUACCAACCAAUAAAAAUAAGGGAUCAUUACAUUGUUGGGUCGGCCUAAAAAAUAAGGGCUAAUAAAUAUAUUUUGUAUAAUUAUUAUAAAUAUAUAUAUAUAUAUAUAUAAUAAACGUGUUAUAUACAAAAGCAAUGUAUAUAUUUUAAUUAUAUUUGGACUAGCGCCCGUAAAAAUCCCUAAAAGUAAAUAACCCGAAAAAAUAGAAUGGAAUUUAGUAACGGUUGAUUACCAAUCAAUUAGGUAUGUACAUGACAACAAAUGAUUUUAGUUUUGUUAGAGCCCAAUCUGUAAGUCCUUCUACAUAAGAGGCCUAAUAGACAAUUGUUUAGGACCCAAUUACUUGUUAUUUUGCCCAUUACACAUUUAUUGUUGUAAAUAUAUAUACUCAUUAAUGAAAUAAAGAAAAAUAGAUGGUCAUUUCUCUUUUAUACUUUCUCUUUGUCUCUCUCUUCUUCUAGACCCUUCUAGGGUUUUCUCACUCACUCUUCCUCUAUAGCUCGUCUGAGGUUCAUCCUAACAUGGUAUCAAAGCGAAAAUUCUAAUUCUCCGCAUCAUGACCUUCAUUCUUAAUGGAGAUUUGCUCAGAGAUUCCAUCAAAAUUGAUUUCUGGUUAAAAUUGAGGAUUUCGUUGGGGUUUUCAUCUGUGGUCGGAAAAGUUUAUAUUUUUAGCUCAAAUCAACCCUUACUACACUCAUAUUGAUGAGAAGUUACAGUUUUGCGAAAGAUUCAACAGAAAUUUCGAAUCGAUUCAAGCUAGGGUGUCUGCGGUACUUGCAAGACCUUACUUCUUCUAGUUUUUAAGAGGAAGGCUGGUAAUAUCACUGUAAUCUACAUACUUCGGGACUAUUUUGAUAUAUCUUAGGGUUUAAAUUGUGUGAGUUCCGUCUUUGCAUGUCGUUAUCAUUUUUGAGAUGUUCUCCGAUCGUAUGAAUAAGGAAUUUUUGUUAUCUAUCUCUAAUUAGUCUACACAAUGGGUAGUACUGGUGAUAGUUCAGCAUCUACACCUGAGGGAUUUUCACCUUUUACACUCGAUCCUUCUUAUCUCUUCUAUGCCCAUCCCUCUUAUGGUCCUGGUAGCCAAUUGGUACCUGUGCCAUUUGAUGGCCAUGGUUUUGUGCUUUAGAAGAGCAGUAUGCUCACUUCUCUCUCAGCCAAAAAUAAAUUAGGGCUUUUAGAUGGUAGAAUCAAUCAACCUAGCCCUAAUUCACCUUAAUAUCCUUACUGAAAGAGAUGCAAUGAUAUGGUAAAAGCCUUGAUCACCAAUUAUGUAUCGCGAGAUAUUGCUACCAGUAUUAUGUGCUUUAGAACUGCCAAGGAAGUUUGGACUGAUAUCAAUGAGAGGUUUGGACAAUCUAAUGGAUCCAAAUAUUUCCAGAUUUAGAGAGAAAUAAGUGGUACUGUUUAGGGGUCUUCAGAUAUUGCAACAUACUUCACCAAAUUUAGAAGCCUUUGGGAUGAGUUAAACCCCUCAUAUGUAGGGGCCAUAUGUUCUUGUGGAGCCCUUCCCAAGUUCAUAGAAGAUCAACAACUUUUCCAAUUAUUAAAUAGGCUUAAUGACUCCUACUCAACUGUGAAAAGUGCAAUAAUGAUCAUGAAUCCUUGCCACCUAUCAGCGAGGCUUACUCUUUCCUACAAUAGGAUGAAAGUCAAAGGGAAACUCCAUCUAGUACUCCAAACUUCUCAAAUGAUUCUGCUUCUUUCUCUGUUUCUUCAACUCAUAACACUUCAAAUAGACCUUUCACACAGAAGGUCAACUUUGACUCCAGGAAGAAUAUGUCUUUUGGUUCUUGUAAGUAUUGCAAGAAAUCUGGUCAUACAGUGGACAAGUGCUACAGGUUACAUGGGUUUCCUGCAGACUUCAAGUUUACUAAGGACAAGAAGUCAGCCUCAUGUGUUCUAAAUGACAUUCCUCAUGGUCUGCCAAGUACUCUUACAUCUCAAUCUUCUGACAGUUCUCUUCAUGGGUUCACAAAGGAACAAUAUCAACACCUGGUGACUUUAUUCCAACAAGUUCAAAUAUCUCUCGGUACUAGUUCUGAGACCUUUCCUGCUAAGAACUCUGGUUUUGCACACUUUGCAGGUUUGUUUACUGCUUAUGUUGUUGAUUCUGAUAAUUCUCAUUUAUGUGCAACUUCUUAGCUAGGAAUAAAUUCUUGGAUAUUAAACUAAGGGGCAACAAAUCACAUGACUCCACAUAAACACUGGCUUCACAAUCUUAUACCCUUACCUAAACCUUUUUUGGUUACCUUACCUAAUGGAUAUAAAGUUAUGGUAAUGUCAACUAGUUCUCUAUACCUUAGACAUGAUAUACCCUUACUUAAUGUCCUUAUUGUACCAUCUUUCCACUUCAACCUAAAUUCUAUACAUCAGUUGAUUUCUCAAUUGGAUUGUAUAGAUAUUCGUAACAAGUUUAAUUGUUCUUUACAGGGCCCUUCUUUGAAGAGGCCACUGGUAAUUGGUAAGGCUGCUGGAAGGUUGUACUAUCUUCAUCCUAUGCUGAUUUAUUUCCUAAUCCAGACCUAUUUUCCUUUUCUAGUUAUGUGUCAUGUAAUAAGUCUGAGUCCACCAUUUCCUUUGUAAAUACUAUUCUAUAUGAUCAGACACCUAUUGUAAAUAAAAUGGAUCUGUUUUGGAAGCAAAGAUUGGGUCAUAUGACUUUUUAUAGAAUGAAGUCUAUUACUUUCAUAUCUGAUAAAGUUUCUUCUAAGCAAUCUUUUAUUUGUUCAAUAUGCCCAAUGGAAAGGCAACAAAGGUUGCCUUUCCCUGAUAGUCAAAUUCAUUCAGCUGUCUCAUUUCAACUAGUACAUAUUGAUGUUUAGGGGCCUUAUAACUAUAAAACUUUCAAUGGUUUCAGAUAUUUUUUAACCUUGUUGAUGAUUACAGUAGAGCCACCUGGACUCAUCUAUUAUCUUGUAAAAGAAAUGCACUUCUAAUCCUUAAAGCUUUAACUUCCAUGGUUAAAGUCAAUUUUCAUUCUUUAAUUCAAACCUUCAGAUCUGAUAAUGCUUAUGAACUUUGUAACAAUCAUGAAGUUGUUUCUUUCUUUACUAACCAAGGGAUUUUGCAUCAAACCACCAUUCCUCACACUCCACAACAGAAUGGGAUUGUGGAGAGGAAACAUAAACAUCUCUUGGAAGUAUCUAGAGAUCAUUUUCAAUCUAAACAACCUCUCAAAUUUUGGGGAGAUUGUGUCUUGACUGCCACCUACCUCAUUAAUAGAAUACCUUUAGCUAUUUUAAACAACAUUUCUCCUUUUGAAAAAUUACAUGGUCACCAACCUCCUUAUGCUCACUUAAGGUCUUUUAGAUGCUUGUGCUUUGCCACUUCUCCCAAAAUUGGCUGAGACAAAUUCCAAUCUAUGGCCAUUCCUAGUCUCUUCCUAGGUUACCCUUGUGGUAAAAAGGGUUACAAACUUCUAUAUCUUUCUACUUCUUUUAUUUUUUACUCUAGGAGUAUUGUGUUCCAUGAACAUAUAUUCCCCUUUUACUCUUCCAACCAUACUAUUACUGCUUCUCCUCCACAACCUUUUGUGGACCUUCCUUCUGCAUCUAUAUCUGCAUAUUCUCCUCCACCUUCUACCAAUCUUCCACUUCUCCCCUAACACAUGUUCCACACCUUCCCCCAGUCCUCUCUUACCUACUGUACUUGUUCAAGCUGUUAGGAAAUCUACUAGGGUUGUCACUCUGUCCUAUUAUCUCAAAAAUUAUAUUUGUACUUCUGUUUUACCCCAUGUUCUUGUCCCUAACCUUUCUAAGGUGUCACAGACUGAGUUGCAUAUGCAUGAGCCUCAGUUCUACCAGCAGGCAGCUUCACAUCCUAUUUGGUAAGAGACCGUGCUAAAGGAAUUUCAAGCUCUUGAGUCCAACAAGACUUGGGACAUUAUUCCACUCCCUCCAUACAAGAAGGCUAUUCUUUGUAAGUGGGUUUACAAGAUUAAAUAGAGGGCAUAUGGUUCCAUUGAGCGGUACAAGGCAAUGUUGGCCACCAGGAGUGAUAAUCAAAAGGAGGGUAUUGAUUUCACCGAAACCUUUUCCCUUGUUGUUAAAUUGACCACCAUCAAAUAUCUCCUUACCUUGGCUGUUAAAAUAGGUUGGACUGUUUAUCAGUUAGAUGUCAAUAAUGCUUUUCUACAUGGUGACCUUCAUAAAAAGGUUUAUAUGAAGAUUCCUCCUGGUCUGGAUAUCUCUUCUACUUCUACCUCCCCUCCUUUGGCUUGUAGACUUAUGAAAUAUUUAUAUUGCCUCAGGCAGGCUUCCAGACAGUAGUUUUUUAAACUGUCUAAAGAACUGCACUCUAGGGGCUACAUUUCUAGUCUCAAUGACUAUUCUUUGUUCACCAAGUCAUCUUCUAGUUCUCUUGUUGUGGUGGCUGUCUAUGUUGAUGAUAUAUUGCUAGUUGGGGGAUGAUGUUGCUGAGUUAGACUCCUUGAAGUUAUUUCUAGACAACCAGUUUAAAAUCAAGGACUAGGGCACAGUUCAUUACUUCCUUAGGUUGGAGAUAUCCUCUAAUCCUCAGGUCUAUCUUAUGACUCAGUCCAAGUACACUACUGAUUUUCAUAGGUGAGUUCAACUGCCAGCAUUUUCUCCUGUUUCCAUACCUCUGGAUCCUUCUAUCAAACUUCAUUUGGAUAUGGAGGCACCUGUGUCUCAUCUAGUCUGUAUAGAAGGCUGAUUGGGAAGUUGAACUUUCUACAACACAUAAGGCCUAACAUCUCUUUCUCUGUUCAACAUCUCAGUAAAUUUCUUCAAUAUCUUCGGGUUCCAUACAUGUUAGCUGCACUUCAUGUUUUAAGGUAUCUCAUGAAUGACCCUACGGGUAUCUUGCUUUCCAAUUUUGCUAACAUGUCUCUUAUGGGGUUCUCUGAUUUUUAUUGGGAUUCUUGCACUAUUUCUCGAAAGUAUGUCAGUGAUUAUUAUAUCACUCUUGGUGGCAGUCCUGUUUCAUGAAAGAACAAGAAACAGUCUACUAUAUCCUUGUAUUCAGCAGAAGCUGAAUAAUCAGACUCCUUGGUGACCUUGGCUUGCCUAUUCUAAUCCUGUUCCUAUGUAUUAUGAUAGUGAGGUUGCUCUGUAUAUUGCCAAGAAUCCUGUCUUCCACGACCGAACAAAGCAUAUAGAGAUUGAUUGUCAUUAUGUUCGUGAAUGUUUACAUGCUGGACUUAUUUCCUUACACUUUGUUUCCAGUGAAGAUCAGUUGGUUGAUAUCAUGACCAAGGCUUUGUCUACUCAACUUCAUUAUGGUAUUCUUGGCAAGCUUGAGAGGGGUGUUAGAGCCCAAUUUGUUAGUCCUUCUACAUUAGAGGCCCAAUAGAUAAUUAUUUAGGACCCGGGCCCAAUUACUUGUUAUUUGGCCCAUUACACACACACACACACACACACACACACACACACACACAUAUAUAUAUAUAUAUAUACUAUAUAUAUUACACACACACACACUCAUUAAUGAAAUAAAGAAAAACAUAUGGUCAUUUCUCUUUUUUACUUUCUCUCUGUCUCUCUCUUCUUCUCGACCCUUCUAGGGUUUUCUCACUCACUCUUCCUCCAUAGCUUAUCUGAGCUUCAUCCUAACACGUUAUUCCCUAUGGUUAAUUGUUACUCCUGAUCCUCAACAAUAAAAAAUUCACGAGGCGCCCUAUUUAGUAGUCAUAUUUAACUUGUACCCACUUUGUAAAAAUAUUUAACUAAUACUAAAAUUAUAGAUAACUUCAGACCUUCUUCUUAAUAGAUAUGAAAACAAAGGCGAUGGUGAAUUUACAUGGUGUUUGUGAGCAGGUUUUAAGGUGGUUUAUGGUAUUUUACAGUUGUGAGAUGUUAUGAUGCUCUUUUCUUUGCAACUGCUUAGGGUUUCUUCUUCUUCUUCUUCUUAAUUGCAAAAUGAGUUUGCUAGAUUUGUUGUUGUUUUGAAAAAUUGAUGAUUAUGGUUUGUUCUUAUGAUAUUUGGUGGUUAUGUUUCAAAUCUGUGCUCAUUUAAAGUUGAUUUAGGCGUUAAACCAUUCCUAGUCUCUUCCUGGAUUACCCUUGUGGUAAAAAGGGUUACAAACUUCUAAAUCUUUCUACUUCUUAUGUUUUUACUCUAGGGAUGUUGUGUGCCAUGAACAUGUAUUCCCCUUUCACUCUUCCAACCAUACUAUUCUUGCUUCUCCUCCAUAACCUUUUGUGGACCUUCCUUCUACAUAUGCAUCUUCUCCUCCACCUUCUGCCAAUCUUCCCACUUCUCCCCCUGACAAAUGUUCCACACCUUCCCCAGUCCUCUCUUACUUACUGUACAUGUUCAAGCUGUCAGAAAAUCCACUAGGGCUGUCACUCAGCCCUAUUAUCUCAAAGAUUACAUAUGUACUUCUAUUUUACCCUAUGUUCUUAUCCCUGACCUUUAUAAGGUGUCCCAGACUGAGUUGCAUAUGCAUAAGCCUCAGUUCUACCAACAUGCAGCUUUAUAUCCUACUUGGCAAGAGACCAUGCUAAAGGAAUUUCAAGCUCCUGAGUCAAACCAGACUUGGGACAUUGUUCCACUCCCUCCAUACAAGAAGGUUAUUCCUUGUAAGUGGGUUUACAAGAUUUAGCAGAGGGCAGAUGGUUCCAUUUAGAGGUACAAGGCAAGGUUGGUCAUCAGGGGUAAUAAUCAAAAAGAGGUUAUUGAUUUCACUAAAACCUUUUCCCUUGUUGUUAAAUUGACCACCAUCAAGUGUCUCCUUACCUUGGCUGUUAAAAAAGGUUGGACUGUUUAUCAGUUAGAUGUCAAUAAUGAUUUUUUGCAUGGUGACCUUCAUGAAAAGGUUUAUAUGCAUAUUCCUCUUGGUCUGGAUGUGUCUUCUACUAUAAGAAAUAACCUACUAUAUCCUUGUAUUCAGCAGAAGCUAAAUAUAGAGCUCUGAGGAAAGGUGCUGCUAAAAUAGCUUGGCUGAUCAGACUCCUUGGUGACCUUGGCUUGCAUGUUCUAAUCAUGUUCCUAUGUAUUGUGAUAGUGAGGUUGCUCUUCAUAUUGCCAAGAAUCCUGUCUUCCAUGACCGAACAAAGCAUAUUUAGAUUGAUUGUCAUUAUGUUCGUAAAUGUCUACAUGUUGGACUUAUUUCUUUACACUUUGUUUCCAGUGCAGAUCAGUUGAUUGAUAUCAUGACCAAGGCUUUGUCUACUCAACUUCAUUAUGGUAUUCUUGGCAAGCUUGGUAUUUUUUCACCCUCAGGCUUGAGGGGGGUGUUAGAGCCCAAUCUGGUAGCCCUUCUACAUUAGAGGCCCAAUAGACAAUUGUUUAGGACCCGAGCCCAAUUACUUGUUAUUUUUCCCAUUACACAUUUAUUGCUAUAAAUAUAUAUACUCAUUAAUGAAAUAAAGAAAAAUAUAUGGUCAUUUCUCUUUUAUACAUUCUCUCUGUCUCUCUCUUCUUCUCGACCCUUCUAGGGUUUUCUCACUCACUCUUCCUCCAUAGCUCGUCUGAGCUUCAUCCUAACACAUUUUGCCCUAUGGUUAAUUGUUACUCCCGAUCCUUAACAAUAAAAAUUUCACGAGGCACCCUAUUUGGUAGUCCUAUUUAACUUGUACCCACUUUUUAAAAAAAGUUUAACUAAUACUAAAAUUACAGAUAACUUCAGACCUUCUUCUUAAUUGCUGUGAAAACAAAGGUGAUGGUGAAUUUACAUGAUGUUUGUGAGCAGGUUUUAAGGUGGUUUAUGGUAUUUUACAGUUGUGAGCUACUGUGAUGCUCAUUUCUUUACAACUGCUUAGGGUUUUUUUUCUUCUUCUUCUUAAUUGCAAAAUGAGUUUGUUAGAUUUGUUGUUAUUGUGAGAAAUUGAUGAUUGUGGUUUGUUCUUAUGAUAUGGAGGUUAUGUUUCAAAUUUGAGCUCAUUUGGAGUUGACUUAGGCGUUAAAUCAUGUGUUAGAUUGUUGAAAUUCUAAAAAAAAAAUUCAUGUUUCUGGAUAAUUUGCACUGCAGGCCUAUUUGACCUUAAGUGCAUGAAAACACUAGUUGCACUUCAGAGCUAUUUGGCCUUAAGUGCAUCUCUAGUGCAAUUUUUCACUUCAUACCUAUUUGGUUUUAAGUACAUGAAAAUAUUUGUUGCACUUCAUACCUAUUUGGCAUUAAACGCAUCUCAAAUGCGAUUUUUGCACUUUAAACAUAAUUGGCCCGAGUGCAUUACACCUCAAAGUAAUUUUUGUUUCAAACUCAGACCCAAUAAAUCUGAAGUUGAUCAUAAAUUAAAUAAACUUGUAAAUUUUUAGGGAUAAUACAUAAUUACCCCUUGAAGUUAAAUCAAUUUUUCAGAUGCACCCUUUAUCUUUGAGGGGAUCCAAUGACCCCCUUGCUAAGUUUGAAGUGAAAUAAAUACCACCUUCGAUGCUGAUCGGCAUAGAGAGUGCAUUUCCCGACCCAACAGGCGUGAGGAACAAUAUAAACAAGACAAAAAGGUUUGGAUGGACCCACCAUCUUCAUUUUGACUCCAUAUACAUUCAUCUUCUUCAUUUUCUUUCUUCCUUCCCUUCUAAUAGCCAUUGAAGGCAAAACUCAAGCUUUCUCAUUCCGAUUUCAUCAAACUUUCCUCUUUAUCUCACAUCUACCUUCCAUCUCUAAUAUCACUUUCCACCAUUUUUGGAGCCAUAAGAAAACACACACAAAAAAAAAAAAUAUCGCUUUUGAAUUGCCGCAAUUAAAUCCACCAAAAUUUAAAAAGAAUGUUAAUUUGUAAUAAAAGAACCUUCCAAACGUUGUUCUACUAUCACAACCCAUUCCAGUUCUUCAUUCUUCAUCUGAAAAUUCCCCUUAUCACUCACUGUUAUUUGCAGAAAAAAUUGCAAAUAAUUAAUAGUAAGAGAGCAACGGCAAAAUACAUUCUUUCUAUACCCGCUUACAUCUUGAAAUUUAUUAGAAGUAACCAAAAAUUAUUUGAAUAUAGCAGCAAGAAAUUUUGAUGGCUGAGAUUUGAAAAAGUGGGCCAAAACUAUUUUUCUGGCUAAUUUUAGUUGAUCCUCUUUCGACGGGUCUACCAUAUUAAUGGAGGAUCUCACCAUUUAUGCACACAUAUUCUUCUUACAUAACCACAAACCCAGUGAUAUAUGAUUUGGUUAAUAAAAAAAGGAAAGGAAAGAAAAAAAAAUAUUUGGAAAGAAUUUUGUGAAGGUCACGUUCUGGGUAGAAGGAAACAGGAGGAAGAUAGAGGGAAGAGAUGAGAGAGAUAAAGGAAAGAAAAAGAAAAAAUAUUAAAACAAAAGAAAC